UUCUCUGCCCUGACGUUGCAAUUCUUGGUUUCCGGUGAUCCAUCUCCGACACAUUCCGCGAACAGGCGCGGAUGUCUUCCCACUUCGCCGCCGAUGGCGACGCUCAAGGACGUGGUCCCUUGCCAUGUUCCCUCUGACGGUGCCGUCCAGCGGUGCCCGGCCUCGAGCAGUACCAGAUGGCCUUUUGCGAGGACUUCAACGCGCUGACCACAGUAGUGCAAGCUCGACACCCUCAUGGCCGUCGCCAUCACCGCUUCUAGGGACAAAACCUUGAGUCACCCAUCAAGACCCCCUCCCUCACCUUGUUCCUCACGCACAUCCAUCAUCGAGGAGUUCACCUAUUUGUGACAUUGUCUAACUGAUCAGGACUAAUCAAAUCGAGGAUCAAAAUCUCCGGUGGAUAAAGAUUCACGAUGAUGCAUAUAAACAAUUGUUCCUUAGGGAUGGAUGGAUGGCAGCUCAUAUACUAACUACUAACAGGACUGGUACCUGAUGUGAAAUUAAUGGAUUAGGUUAUCAAUAAAUGUGUCAUCAAAAUUCAAAUAACAUAUGGGAAGACUUGUACCUUUUGUUGAGAUCUUAACUGAAGAUAUUCAAGAGUCACUCACCUUCACGGGACAACAUCUUGAAGUGUUGAACAAUCCAGCCUUACGAGGACAAAACCAAAUAUGCCAGAAGUGUUGACAAAAUGCUUCAAUCUGAUUUGUUCGUACUAUGCAAUUGAUUUGUUCCCACUAUUUGCAUCUGCAGAUUUCUUCCGCUGUCCAAAGAUCGCAUGACUGCUGGAGUCAUUAAUAGUGUAAUGUGACCACGGACACAUGAAUCAGGUAUAUUCUGGAAGCAUAUUUGGCUUGUGAUGCAACCGAACGUAUUUAUUAGAUUUGAUGUAACAUGUAGGCAACAGUGAUCUUAUUUACUGAUGUAUGAUUCGAUGACAGUUCUGGAAGCAGAUUCUGAAACCAGUAA